CUCAUGCAUUGGUUUUAAGGUAUUGAAACUAACAGCAAGAUAAUCGGGAAGUUGGUGCGUAUUUAUGACAAAAGCAAUCCCAACACUGCCCCCGCAACGGUAAAGUAUUAACACUUUUUUAAAGGUGUUUACUGAGUCCGGAGACCGGCCUUAAAGUAAUCUUACUUA
rnacentral:ncRNA from 1 species